rnacentral:sRNA from 1 species
GUACUUUAUUACCAAGGUUGCCAUCGGAACCAGGAAUGACAUUACUCACUAUCAGAAUUGAGAAAAUUGGUUUGAAAGAUGCUGGGCAGUGCAUCGAUCCCUAUAUUACAGUUAGUGUAAAGGAUCUGAAUGGCAUAGACUUAACUCCUGUGCAAGAUACUCCUGUGGCUUCAAGAAAAGAAGAUACAUAUGUUCAUUUUAAUGUGGACAUUGAGCUCCAGAAACAUGUUGAAAAAUUAACCAAAGAUACAAGAAACCAACUGACUUUAAAAGAAAGAAAUUGCAAUUAUUGACCAAGAAACCACUUUAUCUUCAUCUACAUCAAACUUUGCACAAGGAAUGAUCCUGACAUGAUGAACCUGGAACUUCUGUGAAUUUUACCACUCAGUAGAAACCAUCAUAGCUCUGUGUAGCAUAUUCACCCUUCAACAGGCAGGAAGCAAGCCGUACCCAGACCAGUAGGCCGGAGGGAGUCCAAUGCAAAGCUGUACCACAGAAUUCAAAGUCCAGCACAUCACUGACGUAUAGGACUCCUUGGGAUACAGGUUUAUUGUAGAUUUUGAAACAUGUUUUUACUUUUCUAUUAAUUGUGCAAUUAAUAGUCUAUUUUCUAAUUUACCACUCCUCCUACGCUGCUUCCUGGAACAAUACUGUUGUGGGUAGGAUGUGCUCAUCUUCAGACUUAAUACAGCAAUAAGAAUGUGCUAGAGUUUACACAUCUGUUCACUUUUGCUCCAAUAUGCUCUUUUGACUUAACGUCAAGCUUUGGGUUGAUGUGGGUAGGGUAGUGUCAAACUGCUUUGAGAGGAAUUGGACCAGUUCUGCUGCCUAAGAA